rnacentral:rRNA from 1 species
GGANUGCGAAUGGACGAAGUCUGACGCAGCAACGCCGCGUGGGGGAUGAAGCUUCUCGGAGUGUAAACCCCUUUCGACCCGGACGAAUGCCCGCAAGGGCUUGACGGUACGGGUAUAAGAAGCCCCGGCUAACUACGUGCCAGCAGCCGCGGUAAAACGUAGGGGGCCAGCGUUGCUCGGAAUUACUGGGCGUAAAGGGUCCGUAGGCGGUGUGACAAGUCGGUAGUGAAAUCUCUGGGCUUAACCCAGAGGCUGCUGCCGAAACUGUUGUGCUAGAGUGUGAGAGAGGCGAGUGGAAUUACGGGUGUAGCGGUGAAAUGCGUANAUACCCGUAGGAACAUCCGAGGCGAAAGCGGCUCGCUGGAUCACAACUGACGCUGAGGGACGAAAGCUAGGGGAGCAAACAGGAUUAGAUACCCUGGUAGUCCUAGCCCUAAACCAUCAGGACUUGGGGUUUGCCCUGUACGGGGCAAGUCCCGUAGCUAACGCGUUAAGUCCUGCGCCUGGGGAGUACGGUCGCAAGGCUGAAACUCAAAAAAAUUGACGGA